rnacentral:rRNA from 3 species
UAAACGACUCUCGGCAACGGAUAUCUCGGCUCACGCAUCGAUGAAGAACGUAGCAAAAUGCGAUACUUGGUGUGAAUUGCAGAAUCCCGUGAACCAUCGAGUUUUUGAACGCAAGUUGCGCCCGAAGCCAUUUGGCCGAGGGCACGUCUGCCUGGGCGUCACGU